GAUGAAGAACGUAGCGAAAUGCGAUAAGUAAUGCGAAUUGCAGAAUUCCAGUGAGUCAUCGAAUCUUUGAACGCACAUUGCGCCCUUUGGUAUUCCGGGGGGCAUGCCUGUUCGAGCGUCAUUAUAACCCCUCAAGCUCAGCUUGGUGUUGGGGCCUGCCGACUGGCAGCCCUUAAAAUCAGUGGCGGCGCCAUCUGGCUCUAAGCGUAGUAAUUUCUCUCGCUAUAGAGUCCCGGUGGAUGCUUGCCAGCAACCCCCAACUUUCUAUGGUUGACCUCGGAUCAGGUAGGGAUACCCGCUGAACUUAAGCAUAUCAAUAAGCGGAGGA
rnacentral:misc_RNA from 1 species